UACGAGGGGGCGAGCGUUGUUCGGAAUUAUUGGGCGUAAAGGGUGCGUAGGCGGCCUGACAAGUCUGAUGUGGAAAUCCCUGGGCUCAACCCAGGCCUGCAUCGGAAACUGUCGGCUUGAGUAUGGGAGAGGUGGAGUGGAAUUUCCGGUGUAGCGGUGAAAUGCGUGGAUAUCGGAAGGAACACCUGUGGCGAAAGCGGCUCGAC
rnacentral:rRNA from 1 species